ACAAUGAUACUUCCGUAAUUCGCGGUCAGGCCAUAAGGAAGGCGCGAUGGGUAAAUUCCAAUGG
ncrna:unclassified sequences pemK RNA